GCACUCAUAUCAGCAGCACACAUACUAUAACUGGCACAACACAGAGGUCAGCAUGGGACCCAUGCACAGAUGACACACAAAUUCAUGAAGUGUUCUACAUACAU
rnacentral:snRNA from 1 species